rnacentral:rRNA from 1 species
UACGUAGGUGGCAAGCGUUGUCCGGAAUUAUUGGGCGGAAAGCGCGCGCAGGUGGUUCCUUAAGUCUGAUGUGAAAGCCCACGGCUCAACCGUGGAGGGUCAUUGGAAACUGGGGAACUUGAGUGCAGAAGAGGAAAGUGGAAUUCCAAGUGUAGCGGUGAAAUGCGUAGAGAUUUGGAGGAACACCAGUGGCGAAGGCGACUUUCUGGUCUGUAACUGACACUGAGGCGCGAAAGCGUGGGGAGCAAACAGG